rnacentral:tRNA from 1 species
UCCUGGAUAGUUCAGUUGGUGGAGCAUGAGACUCUUAAUCUCAGGGUACUGGGUUCAAGCCCCAUGUUGGGCAA